rnacentral:rRNA from 1 species
UAAGAAUUUAAAAGUCGAACAGACUUAUUCCUAAGAAGGCUGCUUCUUAAAAUUUUCUUAAUUCAACAUCGAGGUCGCAAAAUAAAAUAUAGAUAUGAACUCCCCAUUAAAAUUACGCUGUUAUCCCUAAGGUAACUUAAUCUUAUUUCCUAUUAUUAAGGAUCUAAAAUAACAUAUAUAAAUGAAUUUUAAAACUAAAGUUAACUUAUUUAGUCACCACCCCAGCAAAAUAUAAAUUAACAUUAAAAAAUAUUAAUAUGAAAAUCAAUAAUAUAAAUUAAUAUAAAGUUCUAUAGGGUCUUAUCGUCCCAAUAAGUCAAUAAAGCAUUUUAACUUUAAAUUUAAAUUUUAACAUUUAAAGAAAUAAAACAUAAUUCUCAUACAUCCAUUCAUACAAGCUUCCAAUUAAAAAACUAAUUACUAUGCUACCUUUGCACAGUCAAAAUACUGCAGCCAUUUAGAAAAUUAGACCAUAGGGCAGAAGAUACUUUUUAAAUAAACA